rnacentral:rRNA from 1 species
AUUGAACGCUGGCGGCAGGCCUAACACAUGCAAGUCGAGCGGAUGAAGGGAGCUUGCUCCUGGAUUCAGCGGCGGACGGGUGAGUAAUGCCUAGGAAUCUGCCUGGUAGUGGGGGAUAACGUCCGGAAACGGGCGCUAAUACCGCAUACGUCCUGAGGGAGAAGGGGGGGGUUCUUCGGACCUCACCCUUUCAGAUGAGCCUAGGUCGGAUUAGCUAGUUGGUGGGGUAAAGGCCUACCAAGGCGACGAUCCGUAACUGGUCUGAGAGGAUGAUCAGUCACACUGGAACUGAGACACGGUCCAGACUCCUACGGGAGGCAGCAGUGGGGAAUAUUGGACAAUGGGCGAAAGCCUGAUCCAGCCAUGCCGCGUGUGUGAAGAAGGUCUUCGGAUUGUAAAGCACUUUAAGUUGGGAGGAAGGGCAGUAAGUUAAUACCUUGCUGUUUUGACGUUACCAACAGAAUAAGCACCGGCUAACUUCGUG